rnacentral:tRNA from 5 species
GACUCACUCGCUUAAUAGGUAAAGCAACUCCCUUCAUAAGAGCCUUGCAAUAGGGCUCUUAUGAAGGAGUAGCUCUGAGUUCGAUUCUCAGGUGAGUCACCA